rnacentral:rRNA from 1 species
UGGGGGAUAUUGCACAAUGGAGGAAACUCUGAUGCAGCGACGCCGCGUGAGGGAAGAAGGUCUUCGGAUUGUAAACCUCUGUCUUUGGGGACGAAGAAAGUGACGGUACCCAAAGAGGAAGCCACGGCUAACUACGUGCCAGCAGCCGCGGUAAUACGUAGGAGGCGAGCGUUGUCCGGAAUUACUGGGUGUAAAGGGUGCGUAGGCGGACUGGCAAGUUGGAUGUGAAAUCUCCGCGCUUAACGUGGAGGUUGCAUUCAAAACUGUUGGUCUUGAGUGAGGCAGAGGCAGGCGGAAUUCCCGGUGUAGCGGUGAAAUGCGUAGAGAUCGGGAGGAACACCAGUGGCGAAGGCGGCCUGCUGGGCCUUAACUGACGCUGAGGCACGAAAGCAUGGGUAGCAAACA